AAUACUGCGCAAUGGAGGGAACUCUGACGCAGCGACGCCGCGUGAGCGAUGAAGGUCUUCGGAUCGUACAGCUCUGUCCUUGGGGAAGAAGGUCUUCGGACUUGACGGUACCUAAUGAGGAAGCCCCGGCUAACUACGUGCCAGCAGCCGCGGUAAUACGUAGGGGGCGAGCGUUGUCCGGAAUCACUGGGCGUAAAGGGUGCGUAGGCGGCCUGAUAAGUCAGAUGUGAAAUACCAGGGCUCAACCCCGGGGGGUGCAUUUGAAACUGUUGGGCUUGAGUGCAGGAGAGGAAAGUGGAAUUCCUAGUGUAGCGGUAAAAUGCGUAGAGAUUAGGAGGAACACCAGUGGCGAAGGCGACUUUCUGGACUGUAACUGACGCUGAGGCACGAAAGCGUGGGGAGCGAAC
rnacentral:rRNA from 1 species